UGGAAUCAGUGAUUAGCUCACUCAUAAUGAUGGAAAAAAGCCUUGUGAGCGCUUCCUAAAGCGAGUAAGUCUGGCCUCAGUGAGGCAAAGUCAGUGCUAGGCUGAAUGUAUAAUAUCCUACCUUCCAUCUGCUUUUAGUGUCAUUCAGGAUGGGGAAGGAGGGAAUUUGUUCCACUUAAAUUAAAAACAAAAUUCUGAAAUAUGCUAUGGCAAUAAGUAAAUCCAUACUCUUAGCUUUAAAUAUUGUACUUUGCAAAGAUUGCAAAGAUACUGGCCUGGAAACCAGAUUCAGAGAGUCCUUAGUAUGUCAAACAACAGAAGGGUCUUGGGUGUCUGCAUAUGAUCUCUUACUGAAAAGUGUCUACCCAGAAGCUGGAAAGCCUCCUGAGAUGUGGAAAGGUGCAAGUAAAAGCUAGGCAGGAAACUGAUCUCGUAGAAUGUCUGAGGUUGAAGGGACCUCUGGAGAUUGUCUAAUCCAACCCCCCUGCUAUAGCAGGGUCAGCUAGAGCAGGUUGCCUAGGACCAUGUCCAGCUAGGUUUAGAAUAUCUCCAAGCAUGGAGACUCCACAGUUUCCCUGGGUAACCUACUCCAGUGUUCAACCACACCCUUACGGUAAAACCAUUUUUUCUUAAGUUUAAAUGGAAUUUCCUGUAUUCUAGUUUGUGCCCAUUGCCUCUCAUCCUGUCGCUGGCCACCACUGAGAAGAGUCUGGCUCAAUCAUCUUUACACCCUCCCAUCAAGUGUUUGUAGACAUUGGCAGAGAAGACUAAAAUACACGUACUGUCCCCAAGCUGUAUCUGUCAGAUUUGGAUUCUUCAUGAGAGCAACUGUGUCCACCAAGGUGACUAGUUAUCUGCGCAUGAACAAAGAAGUGGCUGGAGACAGAGAUGGCAGCAGAAGGGAGAGGAGAGCAAGAAAAGUCCUUGUGUGGUGUGGAGAAAAAAGAGCAGUCAGAUGCAGACAUCUUCUCCCACCGCUUUCCAACAACUGGGCAAAUUUUUGGAAACACCCUGCAUUAUAAGCACUGUGAGAACAACAGUAUAACUUCUCAGGUUUUCUAAUGGAAAGUUGGAGGAACCUGCAGAUUAAAUGGGAGAACUAAGAGCAGAAGAAUCAUACAAGCUGUAACAUCAUCUCUCUCGAUACGACAGCUGGAAAAGGAUACCUCAGUUUUAAAAAGCUCCUAUGGAUUUGUAUAGGCUAGGGUGGAAGUGCCAUUGUCUGUCAGUUCUGACGGCUGUCAACCCUUA